GCCGGGUGUGGUGGCACAUGCCUGUAAUCCCAGCUACUCGGGAGGCUGAGGCAGGAGAAUUGCUUGAACCUGGGAGGCGGAGGUUGCAGUGAGCCAAGAUCGCACCAUUGCACUUCAGCCUUAUGUGUACCCCAAGAUAAUUCUUCUUUUUUUUUUUUUUUUUUUUUUUUGAGACGGAGUCUUGCUCUGUCACCCAGGCUGGAGUGCAGUGGCGUGAUUUCGGCUUGCUGCAAUCUCUGCCUCCCGGGUUCAAGCGAUUCUCCUGCCUCAG
rnacentral:sRNA from 1 species